GAUUGAUUUAGUUAUUAAAAGUGGUUAAUUAUAGGAUUACGGUUAGAAUCUGGAAAUCAUGAGCAAUUAUAUAGGAGUUGUAGAAGUUUGUUGGAGUACCAGACUGUGAUAGUUAUGAGCCAGGGUAAGCUUGGUGCUACCUCUUUGUUUCUUUAUUUAUUUGUUUUCUUUGUUAUUGAAGAGUAAUGGAUAGUUUUUGAAUACUGAGAAGUGAGUCUGUAGAAUAAAUUAGAGAUUGAUUUAUGAGUUAUUGAUUAUGUAAUUGGAGUACUGAGUGAUUGAAUUAUAUGAGGAGUUAUUGGAAGAUUAUGAUUGUUGUUUAUUGAGAGUUGUGUGUGUUUUGAACAAAAAAAGCUUGUGGUUAUAGAAAUUAUGUGAAUUCAGAUUGUUGGAGUGAAGUCUAUUAUUCCUAGUAUUGGAUGGAAAUUAUUAUACUUUGAGCAAUAUUUUGAGACUGCAGAGUUGCACACUGUUGUUAUCAGUUGAUGAAGGAGUAUUGUUAUUGGGAGAAAGCAUCGUAGUAUUUUUUGGUAUUUUAGUGGUUCAGAAUUACAUUUAAUUGUAUGAUCCUAAUAAGUAAAACCCAUGCACUUAGUCUUUUCAUGUAUUCGAAUUUCUUUAUACAGGUUUAUUUUGAAAGAAAUUAUAGAAUAACUAAAACAACAAUCACAAGUU
rnacentral:lncRNA from 1 species